GACGAACGCUGGCGGCGUGCUUAACACACGCAAGUCGAACGAUGAAGCUGGAGCUUGCUCUGGUGGAUUAGUGGCGAACGGGUGAGUAACACGUGAGUAACCUGCCCUGGACUCUGGGAUAACCCCGAGAAAUCGGAGCUAAUACCGGAUAGGACGUUGCACCGCAUGGUGUGGGGUGGGAAGUUUUUCGGUCUGGGAGGGACUCGCGGCCUAUCAGCUUGUUGGUGAGGUAAUGGCUCACCAAGGCGUCGACGGGUAGCCGGCCUGAGAGGGUGACCGGCCACACUGGGACUGAGACACGGCCCAGACUCCUACGGGAGGCAGCAGUGGGGAAUAUUGCACAAUGGGCGCAAGCCUGAUGCAGCAACGCCGCGUGCGGGAUGACGGCCUUCGGGUUGUAAACCGCUUUUAGUAAGGAAGAAGGGGCUUCGGCCUUGACGGUACUUGCAGAAAAAGGACCGGCUAACUACGUGCCAGCAGCAGCCGCGGUAA
rnacentral:rRNA from 1 species